rnacentral:rRNA from 1 species
CCUACGGGAGACAGCAGUGAGGAAUAUUGGUCAAUGGGAGAAAUCCUGAACCAGCCAAGCCGCGUGAGGGAAGACGGCCCUAUGGGUUGUAAACCUCUUUUGUCGGGGAACAAAACCCGGGACGUGUCCCGGACUGCGUGUAUCCGAGGAAAAAGCAUCGGCUAACUCCGUUCCAGCAGCCGCGGUAAUACGGGGGAUGCGAGCGUUAUCCGGAUUUUUUGGGUUUAAAGGGUGCGUAGGCGGUCCUUUAAGUCAGCGGUAAAAUUGCGGGGCUCAACCCCGUCGAGCCGGUGAAACUGGCAGCCUUGAGUGGGCGAGAAGAAGGCGGAAUGCGAGGUGUAGCGGUGAAAUGCAUAGAUAUCGCGCAGAACCCCGAUUGCGAAGGCAGCGUACCGGCGCCAGACUGACGCUGAGGCACGAAAGCGUGGGGAUCGAACAGGAUUAGAUACCCUGGUAGUC